GUCUUAUGACUCCGAUUUAGAAAAAAUUCAGAUUUUUAUUCAAAAGUACGUUUUCUUUUUUGCAAAAAUAUUUUGGCAUUUUUCAGACUUGGAAGUUUAAAAAAAGUUCUUUCAUUACUUUUACAAGUAUGGAGUGAACCCCAUGCAGGCUUACCCUACACCACCUAACACAGUGGCGCCACUGGGCGGAGUUGAACCCGAGGCAUCUGUCUGUGAGGCGAGAGUGCUGACCACUACACCACUGGUACCGUGUCAACUGCAGCUAUUAGAAUGUCUUAUGACUCCGAUUUAGAAAAAAUUCAGAUUCUUUUCUGGGUGGAGUUGAACCCGAGACAUCUUUCUGUGAGGCGAGAGUGCUAACCACUACACCACUGUACCGUGUCAACUGCAGCUAUUAGAAUGUCUUAUGACUCCGAUUUAGAAAAAAUUCAGAUUUUUAUUCAAAAGUACGUUCUCUCACCGUCGUCCCCCUUAAUAGAAAAGAUAGAAUUUCAUGACUUUUUGCAAAAAAAAUUUGGCAUUCUUUUCAGACUUGGAAGUUUUAAAAAAGUUUUUUCCAUUACUUUUACAAGUAUGGAGUGAACCCCAUGCAGCCUUAGCCUACACCAAAGGCGCCACUGGGUGGAGUUGACGAGGCAUCUGUCUGUGAGGCGAGAGUGCUAACCACUACACCACUGUACCGUGUCAACUGCAGCUAUUAGAAUGUCUUAUGACUCCGAUUAGAAAAAAUUCAGAUUUUUAUUCAAAAGUACGUUUUCUCACCGUCAUCCCCCUUCAUAUGACUAAAGAUAGAAUUUCAUGACUUUUUGCAAAAUAUUUUGGCAUUCUUUUCAGACUUGGAAGUUUAAAAAAAAUUUUUUCCAUUACUUUUACAAGUAUGGAGUGAACCCCAUGCAGCCUUAGCCUACACCAAAGGCGCCACUGGGUGGAGUUGAACCCGAGGCAUCUGUCUGGGAGGCGAGAGUGCUAACCACUACACCACUGCACCGUAUCAACUGCUUUAAUAAGAAUGUCUUAUGACUCCGAUUUAGAAAAAAAUCAGAUUUUUAUUCAAAAGUACGUUUUCUCUUUUGCAAAAAUAUUUUGGCAUUCUUUUCAGACUUGGAAGUUUAAAAAAAGUUUUUUCCAUUACUUUUACAAGCAUGGAGUGAACCCCAUGCAGGCUCAGCCUACACCACCUAACACAGAAGCGCCACUGGGUGGAGUUGAACCCGAGGCAUCUGUCUGGGAGGCGAGAGUGCUAACCACUACACCACUGUACCGUGUCAACUGCUGCCAUUAGAAGGUCUUAUGACUCCAAUUUAGAAAAAAUUCAGAUUUUUAUUCAAAAGUACGUUUUCUCAUCGUCGUCCCCCUUCAUAUGACUAAAGAUAGAAUUUCAUGACUUUUUGCAAAAUAUUUUGGCAUUCUUUUCAGACUCGGAAGUUUAAAAAAAGUUUUUUUCCAUUACUUUUACAAA
ensembl:lncRNA